GAAGGAGUGUCUGUUUGAAGGGUACCUUUAUCCAUUUCCAAUGAGGAGGAGAUUGCAAUUUGGCGCUUCUCCAUUUCUAUACUGUGAUUGGCUGUUCCUAUCAAAGUGGGUGUGCUUACUGGAGAUAUACUGAUGGGUGUCUCAGAGAAUUGAGUAGAUUUAUUCAAUAACAAAGAUGAUGCGUGAUUGUCGUUUACUUUUAUUGAAAAUAUUGGAGGCUUGAUGUUAGGUCGUAAGAUAUGACUUUAAAUGUUAUAAGUGGCUUGAAUUUGUGAGAUUGUGUUUUUGUUUUGUUUGAAC
ensembl:lncRNA